UCCGUCCACAUCACGUUUAAACAACGGUUUCCCGUACGAUCACCUAAGUUAAGCAAUGCUGAACCUGGUCAGUACCUAGAUGGGUGACCGCUUGGAAAUACCAGGCACUGUAAG